rnacentral:rRNA from 2 species
AGCGGAACGAUGGUAGCUUGCUACUNGGCGUCGAGCGGCGGACGGGUGAGUAAUGCUUAGGAAUCUGCCCAGUAGUGGGGGAUAGCCCGGGGAAACUCGGAUUAAUACCGCAUACGCCCUUUUGGGGAAAGCAGGGGAUCUUCGGACCUUGCGCUAUUGGAUGAGCCUAAGUCGGAUUAGCUUGUUGGUGAGGUAAAGGCUCACCAAGGCAACGAUCCGUAGCUGGUCUGAGAGGAUGAUCAGCCACAUCGGGACUGAGACACGGCCCGAACUCCUACGGGAGGCAGCAGUGGGGAAUAUUGGACAAUGGGGGCAACCCUGAUCCAGCCAUGCCGCGUGUGUGAAGAAGGCUUUCGGGUUGUAAAGCACUUUCAGUGAGGAGGAAGGCUUUCAGACUAAUACUCUGGAGGAUUGACGUCACUCACAGAAGAAGCACCGGCUAACUCCGUGCCAGCAGCCGCGGUAAUACGGAGGGUGCAAGCGUUAAUCGGAAUUACUGGGCGUAAAGCGCGCGUAGGUGGUUGAGUAAGCGAGAUGUGAAAGCCCCGGGCUUAACCUGGGAACGGCACUUCGAACUGCUCGGCUAGAGUGUGGUAGAGGGUAGUGGAAUUUCCUGUGUAGCGGUGAAAUGCGUAGA